CCUACGGGGGGCAGCAGUAGGGAAUAUUGCUCAAUGGGGGAAACCCUGAAGCAGCAACGCCGCGUGGAGGAUGAAGGUUUUAGGAUUGUAAACCCCUUUUGUUAGAGAAGAUUAUGACGGUAUCUAACGAAUAAGCACCGGCUAACUCCGUGCCAGCAGCCGCGGUAAUACGGAGGGGGCAAGCGUUAUUCGGAAUUACUGGGCGUAAGGAGUGCGUAGGCGGGGUAAUAAGUCAGAUGUGAAAUCCUGUGGCUUAACUAGAGAACUGCAGUGGAAACUGUUACUCUGGAGUGUGGGAGAGGUAGGUGGAAUUCGUGGUGUAGGGGUAAAAUGCGUAGAUAUCAAGAGGAAUACUCAUUGCGAAGGCGGCCUGCUGGAACAGUACUGACGCUGAUGCACGAAAGCGUGGGGAGCAAACAGGAUUAGAUACCCGUGUAGUC
rnacentral:rRNA from 1 species